GAAUCAUCAUUUGUAUGACUGUCACACAAAGGGAACAUAUGGCCAGUCAAGAAAGAAGACUGUACCCACACCAUGGGCCUGAUCUAUUUCCCUCCUGCUUGAGAAAGUGAGGAAUGUGUGAAAGUAGAAGCCCUCUCCCCCUUCUCAGCGUGCACACACACCUGAAUGUACACGCACACACACUCAUACUUACACGCUCUGUGCAAGGAGGAGGAGGAGGACUUCUAUUUGAAAGUGGUUGAAUUCCAGAGUGAAAUUUAAAUUUGGCAAGAUGCUGGCAACUCCCUUCCUCAAAUUAUGACCAUAAAUAUCUCCAGACAUUGCUAAAUGUCCCCUGAGGAGCAAAAUUCCCUCCACCCCCCAAGUUGAAAAUUCUUGCUCUGGGGAAAGAUCUCAUCCUUGAGUGGCUGCAUCUCUGUCCUUUUACCUGUUACUCAGACAUCCUGUGCCACAAAGUGUAAAUUAAAGGGAAUACACCUACUGACAAGCCACGGAAAGAGCAGAUGUUUGCUAGCAGAAUCAGGGGAAAGCUAGCAGUGCGUGGCAAAUCACUGGAAUU
rnacentral:lncRNA from 1 species